rnacentral:lncRNA from 1 species
UGGAUUUUUAUCCCUGAAUAUGCACAAAUGGCACUCUUUAAAAACAAUAAUUACACAUAAUAAUACAACUACGUACUUACAAAAAGUGCAACCAAGACUUUGCUUUUUUUUCUACGACACUGUUUGCAUGGUAUAAUUGCGUGAAAAAUCCUAGUAAAGCACCGUUUCUACCUUUUUCUUUAUUCCAUCCAUUCUACCAAUACUCUCGGAUGACUCCACAACAUUAUAGUUUUCUUAAAUCCCACUAUCUAGUCCGAGCAAAUUACAAACUUUGUUUUCUCGCUCACCACACCCAACACAAAACCUCGAGUGCUAUAUCUCGCUUACUACGAGUGUUCCUUGCAUCUCCCCUACUGAGCUGGCCCAUUUUCUUUGGGUUUAUUUAUUUGGAGUGUUUCGUUCGGGUUCGCUAGGUUUAGUUCGUGGUUUUCUUCUGGUUUAUUUGUGUGGGUUCCUUCUCUGUAUUUUGCCUCGUUUCUCUUUGUUUUGUUUUGUUUUUGUAUUUUUGUGUGGGUCUAUUCAGUAGUUUUUCUUGUUUUAUUUUUAUAUUUCGUUUUCUAACUUUUUCCUGGGUUUUUUUGUACUGUUUUUUUCCGCUUGUCUUGUUUUCUUUUUCUCUGUGGUUUCUUUUGUUUCUUCCUUUGUUUUUUUUUAUAAUAUUAUUAAGUUUUUUUUCUUUCUAAGUUUUCUUUGAUUGUCUUGAGUUUUUUUUGUUUUUUUCUUCGUUUCCUCAUGUGCUUUCAUUCUCUUUUUCGUUCUUCUUUGUUUUCUGAGAUAUUCAUUUUU